UACGUAGGUGGCAAGCGUUGUCCGGAUUUACUGGGCGUAAAGGGCGCGCAGGCGGCUCUUCAAGUCAGAUGUGAAAGCCCCGGGCUCAACCUGGGAACUGCAUUUGUGACUGCACGGCUGGAGUGCGGCAGAGGGGGAUGGAAUUCCGCGUGUAGCAGUGAAAUGCGUAGAUAUGCGGAGGAACACCGAUGGCGAAGGCAAUCCCCUGGGCCUGCACUGACGCUCAUGCACGAAAGCGUGGGGAGCAAACAGG
rnacentral:rRNA from 1 species